GAAAAUUGCGGCAUCACUUGACCAGCGCUGCGACUACCCAGCGGUGUCUCUCUCGCCUCCGGCCUACAAGUACUACAGGGAGAGUGAGCGCAGCAAGGAAGAUUAGGGACUUACGGCGCCCCUGGACGCCGGGUUAUGAGGGAAAUUGGCAGCGAGGGGCAGUGCAGCUAGGGGAGGAGGAAGAGGGACGGUGGUGAAAGGGAUGGGAUGGGGUCGUGGACAACUGGAAAGAGGCAAAAGAGGGUGGAGGGCAGGCAGAGAAAGCCAAGAGCCUCUACAAAGGGGAGGCUGGGGUAUGGUACAUGUGUAAACUCCACUAGAUACGAGUGCCUUUAAGAUUUCUUGUAUGUAUCUCCCUCACAAGAUUUAUGGACUAUGUAUUAAAUUCAUUUUUUCCCUCA